GGUCCCAGUUAAAAGAAAAAGCCCGGAGAGGACAUUGGAGUGAUCAUCAGAGGAUAAUGAGAUGAAAUGGGUUUUUAAACUGUUUGUUUUUCCCUUAUUUCAGACGUGGCGCUCCGAGGGCUUCUUGGCCCUGUAUAAGGGCUUCUUUCCCAACUGGCUCCGCCUGGGACCGUGGAACAUCAUUUUCUUCCUCUCUUAUGAACAGCUGAAGAAGAUCGACGUGUGACCGGCGAAACGAGGCGGUCAAUAAGAGACGAGGAUGUGCUCACGCUCAGACACGAGCUGAGAGGACCAAAAUCGGAGAAGGCUUGGAUUGGGAUGGAUCCUUUUAUGGACCUGCUGAAAGGGGUGGUGAUGUAGACCCCAUAUGAGAGAGGCGGUUUGAGAUUUUGUCUGAUUCCUGUUUGGGCUACAUGUCUCCUGAAGCCUGCAGCAAGUGUGGAAGACACUCGUGUUUUAGCUCAUCCACACGCUACAUUAAGCUUAACCGUGCAUUUACAUUUGAAAACGGCCACUUAAAUCUUGUGUACGAAACUGCUUUAAACUAUGUCUCGAAUAUCACAAGGGUUUUCUACACUUUAAAAGUGGUCUUCAAAUUGAGUGCCUUAGUUUGCGAUUCAAGCCGUCUUAAGACGCAUUAAGACCAAGAAUGUCGGAUAGAGAUGACCAUCGCAGCGAGCGAUCAUUCCCUUGUUUGCUUAAGGACAAAUGUUUGUGUGCACGAGUCAACAAUCUUGACUAGGAUGUGUUGGGUUUUUUUUCUUUCUACAUUUUUUAUUUAUAGGUCGGGUGUGUGGACAGGUGGAAUUAUGUAUUACUCCAAGAGUUUCCCUGAAGUAUUUAAAGAGUUAAGAGCUAAGAAUAUAUACCACAAUGUACUGUUACAUAACAGUCAUAUAAACACCCAGUGAGACGCACACACACAUCACAUGCCCAUAUGUGGCGAGACUAGUGGUCCCCUGAUGGCAGCGAGUGCAGACAGUAAAUAUACCCGGGGGCGAUGGGGCUUCCCUCUGAAGCCUACACCGCAUUAGGUUUAGACCACUGAUUAAGAUUAGGGCAACCAAAUUGUGACUUUUUAUUACUUGAAGGCACUGAAACGAAUGAUGUUUUAUCUCCAGGAGUAUUUUCAAAUACUGUAUUUGCACGCUUUAUACUUUUCAUCCUAAAGAAUGAAUAUGCUUCCCGCUCUCGUGUUUGUGUGAGCUGCCAUCGCUGCCAAAGUGUAUGCUUGAUGUUGGGUGUAAAAGCUUCCUGUAUAUUUUAAAUAAAAGAGGGGGGGAAAAUCA